rnacentral:ncRNA from 1 species
AUGGGCGUAGCCGAAAACCCUCUAAGAGUAGGCA